CCCUUAGAUGUUCUGGGCCGCACGCGCGCUACACUGACGGAGGCAGCGAGCGUGUCCUUCGCCGGCAGGUGCGGGCAAUCUUGCGAGUCUCCGUCGUGCUGGGGAUAGAUGGUUGCAAUUGUCGAUCUUGAACGAGGAAUUCCUAGUAAGCGCGAGUCAUCAGCUCGCGCUGAUUACGUCCCUGCCCUUUGUACACACCGCCCGUCGCUACUACAGAGUGCCCGUGUCCAAGAAACGGUCGGACCUGUGCGGCCUCUCCGGGCGACCGGAGGACCGUUACGGGGAAGACCCUUUAUUUGACGCGGGUCGAUGAAGUAAAAGUCGUAACA
rnacentral:rRNA from 1 species